rnacentral:rRNA from 1 species
GACGAACGCUGGCGGCGUGCCUAAUACAUGCAAGUCGAACGAGUGGCGGACGGGUGAGUAACACGUGGGUAACUACCCCUCAGAGGGGGAUAACUACUGGAAACGGUAGCUAAUACAGCAUAAUAUCGGAUUACUCAUUUGGGAUGAGCUAGUUGGUGAGGUAAUGGCUCAAAAAGGCGACGAGUCCUAGCUGGUCUGAGAGGAUGAUCAGCCACACUGGGACUGAGACACGGCCCAGACUCCGACGGAGGCAGCAGGGGGGAAUAGUGCACAAUGGGCGGAAGCCUGAUGCAGCAGUGCCGCGUGUAUGAAGAAGGCCCUAGGGUUGUAAAGUACUUUCAGUCGGGAGGCGUUACCGACAGAAGAAGCACCGGCUAACUCCGUGCCAGCAGCCGCGGUAAUUC